GCAUCAGUGGGGUAGUGGUAACCUGGGUCGUUGCCAUUUCGGGCUAUUACGUAAUAAUACGUAAAUUAACUCGACCCGCCGGGGGUUCGAUUCCCUCCUGAUGCA